rnacentral:lncRNA from 1 species
UCCCCUUUCAGCUUGUGUACAGACUGCUGCCACACAGGCUGGCUAGGUCGCUCUAUAAGUAAGGCUUUUCCCUAUUAGAUACCCUUAUAUUUCUACUUGGCUCUGUAUUGGUAAUUUCCCACUGUAUAUGGUUAUAGUUUUCUUCAGUUAUUAUAAAAGAUAAGUUAUCCUUCUUUUUAUUUAGACAUAAAAAAGGAGAUGAUGGGGAAUGAACUUCUUUGUAUGUUUAUCUUAUUGAUUAUUGAAUAAAAUACUGUUUGGCCAAUGGCAGCAAGUUAGAUGGGACUAGGAGUCAAAGAGGAUUCUGGGAAAUGUAGUAGAGAAGUGGUGAUCCAGGCAGGAAGUGACAUAGCAAGAAGACUCAUAUUAAGCGAAGGAAAAAUAGGAAGCGUCCCCUUUUCCCCUUGCUCCUCCAGCAGCAGGAUGUGAUUUACCACCAAGGAGGGACGCCAAUAAGGCAUCCGAUAAGGCCUUCGCCCUCCUCUCAGUCCUCCCUCUCCACUAUCAUCUCUAGCUCCUUCCUGGAAAGCCAGAGUCUUCAUUUGUUGUUGGUUGUCCAAGAAGGAGGAAGAGAACAUGGAGGGGAAUCAAAGAUUCUGUCCCAGAGGAAGCUGGGAAGAUACAAAGGAAACUUCAGUAAGACAAGAUGA